GAGUGUAGCUCAAUGGUAGAGUAUGUGCUCAGCAUGCAUGAGGUCCUGGGUUCAAUCCCCAGUACCUCA
rnacentral:tRNA from 1 species